UGCAGAAGGGGCGGCACGGCGGGAGUGCUGCACCCCGGGCACCGAGCCACGCUCCAGCCGGCAUCCUCCUUUGCGCCGGCAGGCCCAGGAGCAGAAGCAGCAUAAGAAGAUGCAAAGGUUAGAAAAGCUUUGGACAAAAAAUAAUAUGUGUAUUCAUCCCCAAAUUCCAGUUCAAGUUGCAAGAAAAAUAGUUUCAAAACGGAUCUGAAGAAAACCUACAGAAGCAUGUCCAUUCUUGAGCAGGUGGAGAGUAUGCAAAGCAAAUGAUAUAAUCACCAUCUUGGAAAGGAUGGCCAACCAGAAGAACAGCCUCUCAUGAAUAAAUGCAUUUGGAUCCAGGGCUUCAAGUGUUCACAUCAGCUGCUCACCUCCCAUGGGAUGAGGGGAGAGUCAGAAGAAAAACACAAGCAUCUGCAAAUGUGAUCAGACUGCGUGUUGCAGUACGUCCUGCCCAGAAGAAAAAGAAAGAAAAAAGAGAGUUAUAUUCUACGGGCUGUGAAAUCAUCACUUUCUACGGUACAAGUCAAUGAAGAUGCUAGAAGAUGUGGGGGAUGGACAGUCACAUGGAAGACUAGGUAAUGGUUUGCCUGUUUACUA